CCAAUCUGCAGCUAGACUACUUUGGCCUAGGAGGGCACCUUGGUUUCAUUACUGCUCAAACAUGAAGAGUACAGUGAAGAAUAAUAAUAUAUGUAUGUAGGUGGCUUGUUUGUGUUUAAAUGCAAAUUAUAAAGAAGUUGUUGUGAAGCAGUAAAACAAUUCUGGAAAGACCUAAAUAGAAUGAAUAUGCUGUAAGACUGUAACUAAGGUUGAUAAUUUAAUUCCUCCUACAUAUUUUUCCACAUCUUUCUCAAGUAUGUCAGGCAGAAGUAAAAUAGGUUCCAUCCUUACCCUCAUCCCAGGGAAGCAGAGAUUUGGCAUCUACAGGUUCCUCCCAUUCUUUGUUAUUCUGGGAGGUGCCAUGGAAUGGUUCAUGAUCAAUGUGCGGAUUGGCAAGGAAACAUUUUAUGAUGUGUACAGAAGGCGGCAAUCAGAAAGACAAUAUGAACAAAAACUGGAAGAGGAAAUGAUCAAAACGACCCAACAAGGAGGAAAUUAAUGAAUUAAAAAAAAACACAUUUAGUGGCUUUUUGGUUUUGCAGCUUCCAAUGAAAAGAAAUAUUACUUUUUGGUAAACGGACUUGCUGUUUUAAGCCUGCAGUGCUGCACAAUAUCUUUGAUCUUUAAUAUGAAAAUCAACUGACAAAAUGAAAAAAAUUUUCAUAAUUUUUUUUUAUGUAGAAAUACUAAUAACAAUGAUGCAUUUAAACAUCUAAUAUUUAUUUACAGUGUUUAGAACGUGAGAUAUAAAGCUGAAUUAUUUCAAAAUUCCAUGCAUAAAUUUUGACAGAUGAUGAAUGUAUAAGGUGCAUAACAAUGUGGAAGUUGCCUUGCUAACAGCUACCAAUACCAAUGAUGCAAUCUAAGCUACAACAUUGUUAUUCUACCACUAGAGGGCACUGCACCUCCAACUUUUAAAAAAAAUCUACAGACCAAGAUUGUAGAUAACUGUAAUUGUGUUUUCAGGCAGUUUUAAGCUGAUUUAAAGGGUUCAACUAUAAGUAAUUUAUUUACAAAGAAUACAUUGUUCAAAAGCAUACAACAGAAAUCCUCCUUAAAAGGGAUUUGAUACUCAAAAAUGUUUGUUCCAUCUAAAAGAGGAUGUUUCAAAAUGUAUUCUGGUGCUUUGAUUAUGUCAAAGAUAGAUGUUUUUGUGCUGAAUAAAACCACCUUUUUUGUGAGAGAUCGGUCAGUAACCGAUUUCUACACAAUUUUAUUACAAGA